rnacentral:lncRNA from 1 species
UGAAUAGUCAACUGCUCCCUGUUUAGUCCUGUAAGAAGGGAAACAGUGUUAUCUGAGUGGAGCCUCUUCUUUAUCUAACUGUGAUGUGGAUGGGAAGUGGAUAAGGAAGAGGGGUGAGGAGGAAGCACGCUGCUAGGUGUCUCUAGUUGGCCAAGAACAACAGAGUUGCAGGUGACAAGCAAUCCCAGCUACCCCCUCUGUUAGAAUGUCGUUAGGCCUUCCUGUUUCUUCACUUCCAUAGCAGUUUCCAGCAUGCCUCAGACCUUGGUGUUUUGGGGACACCGUGUCUUGGCCUGCCCUUUCA